AUAUCUGACUGAAUGCUCCCACAGUGGAUUUAGUGUGCAUAACUGUGCUCACAGUCAGGAUGCUGGUGUCAUCUGUUCAGGCCCUAUAAGGCCCACUAUUGAACUUACUCCUCAAGGUGACAUCACCUUGGGUCGUAAUGUCAGCAUCAGUUGUUCAGUCACUGAUGCACAAGUAAAAGGGAUAUUUGUCUUGACGACGACCACAGGCUCAUUCAGCCGGGCUGUGAACUCAAGCAGCAACUCUGCUACUUUCUACAUCGUUCAGGCCACUUUCAAUGAUCAGGGAUGGUACAAGUGUCAGCUUCAAGUCAUGCUUCCCAAUGAGAACUUCACCACUCUCUUUAGUGACACAGUCGAACUAAGAGUGAUCUUUCCACAACCCACGAUCAGUAUUGAACCCUCUGGAGUGAUUAAUCUCAAUCAGGAUGUCAAAAUCAUUUGUUCAGUCACUAAUGAACAAGGAGGAGGGUCAUUUAUCUUCAGGAAGUCUUCAGGAAGUUUCAGUCAGACUGUGAACUCAAGCAGCAACUCUGCUGCUCUAAAUAUCCCUAAAGUUACCUUUACGGAUGAGGGAGACUACCAGUGUCAGCUUAAAGUGAAGAUUUCUAACGAAGACUUCA